rnacentral:rRNA from 1 species
AUACGGAGGGUCCAAGCGUUAUCCGGAUUCAUUGGGUUUAAAGGGUCCGCAGGCGGGAAAAUAAGUCAGUGGUGAAAGCCUACAGCUCAACUGUAGAACUGCCAUUGAUACUGUUCUUCUUGAGUAUAGAUGAAGUGGGCGGAAUAUAUCAUGUAGCGGUGAAAUGCAUAGAUAUGAUAUAGAACACCGAUUGCGAAGGCAGCUCACUAAACUAUUACUGACGCUCAGGGACGAAAGCGUGGGGAGCGAACAGGAUUAGAAACCCCAGUAGUCC